CAUAUGAAUACAAGCCACCACCAUAUGAAUACAAGCCACCACCAUAUAACUACAAACCUCCUCCAUAUGAAUACAAGCCACCAUCAUAUAACUACAAACCUCCUCCAUAUGAAUACAAGCCACCACCAUAUAACUACAAACCUCCUCCAUAUGAAUACAAGCCACCACCAUAUGAAUACAAGCCUCCUCCAUAUGAAUACAAGCCACCACCAUAUAACUACAAACCUCCUCCAUAUGAAUACAAGCCACCAUCAUAUGGUUAUAAACCUCCAUACAACAGCUAUUCACCUCCUCCGUACGAGUACAAGCCACCAUCAUAUGGUUAUAAACCUCCAUACAACAGCUAUUCCCCUCCUCCCUACGAAUACAAGCCACCAUCAUAUGGCUAUAAACCUCCUUCAUAUGGAUACAAGCCACCACUAUCUCCUCCAUAUAAGUAGAAAUCUCCUCCAUCUCUCUCGCCUCCUACACCGUUACUGCAAGUCUUCACCUCCGCCACCUCUUCCAUGCAUUACUGCGAGUCUUCACCUCUACAACCAUAUUAUUUCGUGUAUACCUCACCCCUGUCACUCGAGUAUUAUUAAGUAAGGGUUUUAAGAUAUUUGAAGUUUUCAAUUAAAUAAGAUUCAACAUUGUCGCAGUUUGUUGGCCAACCUUCGUUAAUAACACAUGGUCUGCGCUAUAGCAAGAGCCAUGCAUGUUAUGGAUGUACCCAUGUUUCACUGUUAUAUACGUAUCAAUGAUCAGUGUAAUUUUAUAAUUAGGUUUGUUUUAAUUUCUGUUAUCGAAUUCCAAUAGUUUCAUAUUUUGUCAUUGGUUGGUGUUUCCAUUUCCUUCUCUGUAUAACUUGGUUUUAUCAAAAUCUGUGUAACCAAAAGAAGUGAAAUUGCUCUUUCUCUUCUCUUUAUGCAUAUUAUGCGAAAUACAAACACGUAUGCCCUUUGAAAUAUUGCCGUAUGUACACCUAUCUCAUGUACCAUCCACUUGAAUGACAUUUUAGAUUUUUUUAAAGUGUGUAAUUAAAAAAAUAAAACAAUUAAAAUAUUAAUUUAUUAGAUGUUGGGUGUAUAUUUGUAUUGUGGAUGAAUGAUUUUUUUUAUUAGCAAUGAGUUAAUAUAAUAAAAAAAAAUAUUUUAGGGUAUCCUAACCUUAUACAUAAGUCGCUUCUAAUUUAAACAAUCAUGAAUACAAAAUAAACUAAGUAAUACACCACUUAUAACUCAAGAUUCUAUGUAAGCAUAAAACGAAUCCACUUUGCUGUGGCUAUAAAUUAACAAUUGAAAAUAGCUAUAAAUUUAAAGGAGUGAUUGGAUUUUUUUAUUGAUUAGGUGUAUUUGAAUUUUUUCCAUUGAGUAUUGGAUUGAGAUUUAGAAAGAUUACAUAGUUUUAUAGAUUUCAACAUGUUAUGACUUAUUAAAUAUAUUGUUUUAAAAUAAGUGAAAAUAUUUUAUGCACUAUUUAUUAGAAAGAAGACUGUAAACUUUUAGAAAAUAUUUAAAAUUAUAAGAGCUAAUAGAAAGAUAGUAGAAAUGAUGGUUGAAUAAAGAAAACCAGAGCAAUUUUUUUUAAUCUAUUAAGAGUUUAUAUAUAGAUUGUAGUUUCAUAUUUUCGUGUAAUAUUAGUAUCUUGUUUUUUUUCUUAAGUUUAACCAACAACAAAAUUCAACAGAACAACAUUACUUAUUCAUGAAAAAAGAGUUAUGAACUAUAUAUGAAUGUCUAUAUUGCCUCUAAAAAGACAAAUAUUUCAUUAAGUAUUUUAUAUCUUACUAAAAAGUGACAUAAAAUUGAUGUUAAAAAUUAAUUCAUCAAAUUUAUAAACUUUUAAUAUCAAUAUUAUUUUUAUAAGUUGUAAUAUAUUUUAAUUAAAUAAUAUCGAAAUUUGUUGUUAUUAUUAAAAACUCUUGAUAAUAUCAAAUAGUAUUAUUGAGAAUUGUUGAUUAAAUAAUAUACUAUUUUUUAUGUAAAAAAUGGUUUCAAAAUCCAUCUUUAAAAUUCUAAUCAAAUACUCUCUCUCAACUCUUAAACUAUAUAAUAUAAAAAUAGAUGUUAAUCUGUUUCAAGUGCGCAUAUAUACAAAUAUUACUAAAAAAUAUUUAUAUUUCAAUUUGAGAAAAAGUGAAAUUAAAAUAUUAUACAGUAUUAAAAAGAACAUUUCACACCAGGUUUAUUUCCAUACAAAAUAAAAUAAUAUUUUAAAAAUAAAAUAAUUUCUAAAAUAGUAUAACUUUUAUUUUCUUUUUGAAAUAUUUUAUGAAGAAAAUAACCUUUUUUUUAAAUAAUUUUUUUUUAUGUUAGGCAUCAUUAUGUAACUUGAGAUCUCAACUAGGCUGACACAUUAAGUAACAACAAUCAUUUGUCAUCACAUAACAAAAUAUUAUUAAAAAAAAAAAUACAAAAAUAUGGGGAGACUAGACCAAAAUUCAUAUGUUAACAAAAACGAUACAUAGGUAGACUAUACCUAUUCAUAACAAAAUUAUAAGAACAAACUAGAUGGAAGUCUAUCUUACUAAUAAAAAGAUUCUUUAUGAAUAAAUCCUAAAUUAACCAACUUAUCUGCAGACGCAUUCGCUUCACGAAAAAUAUGAGUAAUCCUAAACCUAAUUUUUGCACAGUAAUUAAGACAAGUAUUCCAUCGAUUACGAAUCAUCCAAAAAACAUUUGUAAUAACAGUAAACGCAACAAAAACAAAAACAGAGUACUUCUUUUAAUGUAAAAAUAGUUUCUUAUAUUAUAUUUUUUUUUGGUGAAAUUAAGUAAGAAAAAUAUAUAGAAAAUAUAAAAGGAUAUAUAAACAUUUUUUAAUAAGAAAAUGAAUAUUGUUGAGAAAGAAGGUUAAAUUCACAUAGCACAAUAUGUCCUUUUCCAACAUAAAAAGUCAGAUACAAAAAGUUUUUAAAAAAGAAGAUGAAGUAUAAAAGACUAAGUAGCCAAACAACUUUAGAAACAAAUACUUCUCCCUCAUGUGAUAGAUAAGGAGAAGAAAAAACAAAAAAUCUAAGUAAAAAAACCAGCAGACAUUUUUUAAAUAUUUUAUUAAUCUAAGUGAAAAAGAACAAGCAAACAUUGAUACUCAAUUUAAAUAUUUUAUUAUGUCAUUCAUACUUCAUUAGAGUUUUUCUGCCUUGCAAUACGUGUGUAUCUUGGUAUCCAAUUGGUUAUAUUUUAAACAGAAAUAAAUUAUGUUAGAGUGUUGCCGCCGCCGUGUCUACUGUGUCAAAGGCUAUGUUUACACACAUAAAUUAUUUUUUCAAGUUUGACCAGUUAGAAAGUGAAAAUGAAAAGAAACAGAAAAAUAUGAAAUUAAUAUAUAGAAAGACGUUACUUUUAAAAUACACCGAUUUAUAAUAUUUUAAACUUUUUCAAUAUUUAAAGUUUAUAGUUUAAGAGUUGUAAUCUCGAACAAUUCAUAAUUCUAAUAUAUAAACUUUUUAAAAUCUUAGCUUCACAACAUUAUCUCGAGUGACAAGUACUUGGAGAUACGUAAUGAGUUUCUAAGUUGACAUUUUUUGCAUUUAUUUACCAUCCAAACAUAAAUUAUAUACUACUCAAAUCAAACAUGAUUAAAUAAGUAAUUUAGAAGGUAAAAAACAUGCAUGUAAAUAAACUAUUCUUUUGCAAUUUUUUUAUAAUUUUUAUUUUAUUGUAUUACCUUACUUAUAUUGUUUUUAUUUCUAUUUUAGAUUAGUCUAAUACUUCUAUUUAUAUUAUUUUUAUUGUUUUUUAUUUAUUUAUUUAUAAAUAACUAAUAAAUUAAAUGAACAUAAACAAUGUCCAUACACAUUAAACGUGUGUUAAAUGUGUGAUUUACUGUUUAAGUGUCAAAAUAAAGUUUUCCUAAACAUUAUCAUGCACACACACAAAAUUGCUCAACCAUGGUCUAUUGGCCUGCUGCAGCUUGAACAAAACACACACCUAUGUGGUCUAAGCAUCUGCACCCAACUACCAGCAGAAUGCUGCAUACCAGAGAGCAACCACUUUUGUUGCUCUGCUACAUUUAAAAACUCUGUUGCUCUUCUCCUCUGCUAAGGAAUUUGUACUUGUUCUUCCUUUGGCCCAUCGAAUUUCUGCUUAGCUUUACACAACCUUCCAUGCCUGCAUAUUUGCUGCCAUUUCGCCUGCAUCUACAAGACACCUUCCCCAACAGAUUAAACCAGCACAAGUACAUGUUGCAUACACAAAAAUGGCACACAUAACGAUAAAAUCCUUUGUAUACAAAGCAUAUUAUCAUCCAAUCUAAAGCUUUCCUUUACAUCUCCCACAAAACAUACCUUUCCCAACCAUCAAAAGCAAUGAUUGGAUUAACAUAUAAAUGAAUACAUGCUACAAAUAAAACAAAAUUCCAGCUGCCAUAAAACAUCUGGAAGUAACUAACUGCUAACACUGAAUGUAGGAGUUGUUGUACAACUUUCUAGACAACAUUAAUCCUCCCAAGCAUAUGGAGAGCCUUAACUCUGUUCUUACAACUUAAUGCCUAGUAAAAGUUGACUCAUCCAAGUGCUUGUGAGUUUGAACUUUAUCCACCCCAUCAUAGUUGUGUAUGGCAUUCACCAAGAAGUGCCACUUGUAUAUUGAAUCCAGCAAAAACACAUUGUGUUGUCAUGGAUUUCUGCCAUUGGUAUAUUGAAUUCAGCAAAUACACAUUAUGCUGUCAUGGAUUUCCCCCUGCAAAAACAAAUUCCUUAUCUGCGCCUAUGUUUUGGCCUUCACUCCCUUUACACAAAUAAUUUCCUCUUUUCAACACUACAUACCUACCAAAGCAGCACAAAUACCUUCCCUAUUCCUUUAUGAUUACACUUCCUCUACCUUAUACAUAUAAGAAACAUUCUUAUAUGUUUACAAAAGUCCCCCCUUAUGCUUACUUACACUAUCCUACGAUUAAAAGAUUAAUGCAUCAAACUUCGUUUUUAUAUCUUUUGAACGUUAAAUCUUUUGGGCUUUAUUUAUUUACCUUUCUCAGGCCUAAUAAGCUCAGUUGUAUGUAAUAACUUUGUAUAUCAAUUGUGCAUGACAAUGUAUAUGCAUACAAGGAAAAUAAUAACAAAAUUCUUCUCUCUUAUCACGAGUGUACUAUGUAUUUGUCUUGUUUGUUGGGACACUCCAAGAAAUGCAGAAACUCAAGAUGGUAUCAGAUCGGGUCAAGUCUGUUAUACUCCGUUGCCAUGAUUGUCGGUUACUUUGAAUCUUUUCUUUCCUUCUUUUGCUUUUCUUGUGUUUUAUCUCAUGGUUGGACAACAAGAUUCCAAUAAUGAAUUCAAGAAUGAUCAACAAAAUCCAUCUAUUGCUUACUACCUACAUCCACAAGAAAACCUAACCAUGAUCAUAGUCACGCCACAUCUCGAUUUUAUCUCUUGGAGUAGAGUGAUGGAGCGUGCAUUAGUUUCGAAAAACAAGUUUAAAUUCGUUAUUGGAGAGGUACCGCGGAACCAUUACGAUACAAAAAUCAGUAAUGUGAUGAUAUAUAUAUAUAUAUAUAUAUAUAUAUAUAUAUAUAUAUAUAUUCUUAUAUUUUGAAAUGAGAUGAAAACCAUAAACUUUUUUAAUUUAUUUAAAAUAUUUAACCAAGAAUAUUUGAGAGAAAAAAAUUAAUACAUGAUUCAAAUAACAUGAAUUUUAUAAAUUGUUUUAUAUUUUUAAUAUACAUGUAUUACCCUUAAGGUAGUAGUCAUUAGAUUAGAUGCUAGGAGAGAUUUGAGUAGCAUUUGUAUAAGUGAAAUAUAGAAUCAUAAGAACAAAUGUAUCUUUAAGAAUGGGAGAGUAGUUUUUUGGAGGUUUUUACUUUACCUCAAAUGAAUUCCUAGUCUUAGGUUAUGGCUAAGGAAAGAUUGACAGAUUUCUCUUAUUUAGAUUGGUGUUUGGAUCCUCUGUGUUGUAUGAAAUAUUAAGAAUUGACGUUUUGUAGAAUUUUUUUAAUUAUAUGUCUAAGAUUCUUAUAUUAUUUUGUGCAUGUUAUUGUCUUUACAAUUAAUGAGGCUAUGAAAAGAGAUUGUGACUCUUAGAUAAGUUAGUAGGGUUUAGGGUUUACAUGUUUGAAGAAAGUGUACUCUCUUGUUGAAUAGGCUUCAUUGGGACUUGUUUUUGGGUGAGGGAAGUUGACUAGUAAAUGUUAUUGAGAUUUUUUAGUUAUUUUUAGUUGACUCGUAGUUAUUUUUAGUUCAUCAUAACCAUUUUCUAUAUAAAGGUUGGGACACACCCUUGAAGUGUCUCAUUUUAUUUUAUUUAUUUAUUGUUAUUAAGAAAAAACCUUAAAAUAGUAGCAUUAUUAAUUGUUUAUACACUCAACCCUAAAACUUAACUUGAACUUCUAUGUUAUGGACAAACCUCCGUCGUUACAUUCCUCUUUUCUUCUGGUAACUGGUGUUUCCCAUUCUUGCACAAGUUCCCCUUAUCAUUAUACCACUGUUUGCUCCAAAAGUUCUGCUAAAGACACAGCCUUGCAAUAUCGAAAAUUCCCUAGCUACGAGUAUUUUUAUUUUUUUUCAUCCAUGAAUAAAAUUAAAAUGAUCAUUUAAGGGAUAUCCAACAAACCGUAUACAAAAGGAGUACAAACUAUGGUGAAAAAUACAUUAAAACACUUAAAAAAUACUACACCCUAACUGCAAAAAACCUCUAGCAGAGAAACCUCUGCUGUACCUUGGAAGAACCAAACCCGUCACCAUACAUUAUGUACCCUUAACAUUUAAACAUUACAAGCUACAUUACACACGAGCCAACAGUAUUCUGCAUAAGCCCAUCCCCACCCCACCCAAGAUACAUCAGCUUUGUUUAACCAACAACAGAACAAUAAACCCCUAACAACACUACAUACCCCUGAAGAGGUAAGUUACAAAACUCCAUCAUGCAGAAAAACAUACCCAAUACAAAGGAAAACACAACAACAGCCUUAUGCAGGCAACACCAUUAUACAUUGUUCUGUUGCCUACUAAGCUCUCAUACUCAGAUUCGGUACCUGCACAGAGAAGCUCCCAAGUUCUUGGACACAUUGCUGCAUAUAAAAUUAUAGGAUAAGAUUACCUCCCUGCACAUUUCCAUGACUAUACCUCCAUUCACCACCCAGCACCUCACCUUUCAUGUAUACAACUUUGCAUCAGUUUACCAAAGACAUAAUGCACCCUUUCCAUUCCUUUUCCAGAAGCUAUUUCACCCUACACGCCUUCUCUCCUCCAUCCCACAACUAUAUAAACCCCCCUACUAUAAUAUUUUCUUUACAAGUGAUUUAAGACACACCUUAGGUUUUAUACACCACUAUGAGAAACUGAAGUAUGCUAACCUUAUAACCAAACCUUUAAUUGUGGUGAAAAUCUAUUUCUAGUCUACUCUUCCAUUUUUAAAUAACCUUAUUUCUUUGUUUACAAAUCUCUUCAACUAGUACACUUUACACACUGCCCCAUAUUCUAUUCACAUAAGCUGAUUCCUUAUGUAGUCUAAAAGACAAAAUGUGGUUUUGCCAAACUAUGACCAACCGAGACCACUCAAAUUCACUGAAAGCAUGGACACCAAACAUGCCAAACUUCCUACACUUAAAAAAUAAGUGACUAUUUACGAGUAUGGCUACCCUAAAUAGUUAGUUUUUACAUGCAAUUUAAUAUCCAUAAAAUAGAUCUACCGUUUAACGAUUUCAGCAAGACCAUGUUCAUUUUUCUUUUUAAAAUUUGUUUAGGAAUUGUAAAUCAUUUUCGUGUUCAAACAUAAUGGCUCAAUACUGUUUCUUCCACAGAAGCAGUAGUGAUAAAAUAACUUCUCAUAAAAUCCCUAGUUCUUCAAUGAUCUCAUAUUUAACAGUAAUUUGUUUUCGACAAUUAUGUAUCUUUAAAUACUAAUAUGAGAUCAAUGAAAUUCCUUUAGUUGUCGGCAAAUUAAUGGUUGAAAGUCUAACUAAAGGACUUUGUCAACCAUUAUGUUCGUUCGUCUGCAAUGGUGCAUACAGCAUUGAUAUCCAAAAUCACACGACUUUGAUAAUAUAAGAAAAUGCUUUGCCUUGCCCUAUUAUGAAGUAACAAUUUUAACAUCGGCCACCUAAUAUCAAUAACAUAUGAUAAUUACUGCAUAUGACUAAUUAUAAAUGAAUUGAUCAAAUAAACUGAUCACAAGAGGUUCUAACUGCAGAAUUUGCAAUCUGGUUGACAGAAUGUAAUAGGAAUUAAUCACAAGAGUUUUGACUAAUAUAGCUAAUUUACUUAAACUGAGAAAAACAAUAAGGAGAAUGAGAGUGAUAGAGAUCUGGUAGUUAGAAAGGCUAAUCAGAUUAACACAAGUCAAGCAAGCAAUAUGUUAUUUUAAGUAAUGAACUAGUUGCCUUAAUCCUAAUGGAUCAUUAACAAAAUAGGAUUUAUGUUACAAGUAAACUAAUUAAACAAGUAAAUAAGUAAUAUAACAUUACAGAAAUUUACUCAGUCAAUCUAAAUUUCUAGACUCGGCAAUUUUUUGUUACAAUAACCAUGCUUGAGCUUUUAGUCCUGACUCCAUUUACUAUAAUGGCUUUAAAUAAGAUCAGUCUUGGUUGGAAAUAUCCAUUAAAGCUAAUGAUACUUAGUUGUUCUGUUGCAUUAUUUUGAUGGAUAAUAUAAUAUCAAGUGGUAUAGAAAGUUGCAAAAGUUUCACAUUGAUCAUAGAAAGUAGUUAUAUUAAGAUAUAUAUUAUAUAAUUAAUUGGGCAGGUUUCACUUCAUAAUCUGUUUGACACAGUUUUGGCAGCCUAUUCCAAUGUUUGAUCAAAUCUUGGGAGUACUUGUUCAGAUAUGACAUCACCAACUUCCUUUAGUUUAUUGACUUUGUUGAGUUCAAGUUGAAAUAAAAAAGGAUAAUAAUUAAGAAAUGAUCCGAGUUAUGAUGGAAGCUGGUAUGACUAGUAUAUAAGGGAUUACAAUACUUACUUGCCUACCAACCAACUAAAGCAGAAAUUCAUAAGUGUAUCUUCUUGCAAGGCACAGACCAAGGAAGUAAGUAUGGAAAGCUCAGGUGAGGCGAGGCACUUGCCUCCACUCAUCUAUGCUCUGCUGUUCUGCAUAAUUUCUAGCAUUGCUGCUGCUGAUAACCAUCCUUACUAUGGAGGCCAACCAUACUCUAAUCCAUAUCAAACAUCACCUCCCUACUAUUACAAACCACCUCCUUAUCAACCCAAAUACCCUCCAUAUGAGUACAAAUCUCCACCUCCUUAUCAACCCAAAUACCCUCCAUAUGAAUACAAAUCUCCACCUCCUUAUGAACCCAAAUACCCUCCAUAUUAUGAACCAAAAUACCCUCCUUACAAAUCACCUCCUUAUGAACCCAAAUAUGUCUACAAAUCACCUCCACCACCUCCUUAUGUCUACAAAUCACCCCCACCACCUCCUUAUGUCUACAAAUCGCCUCCACCACCUCCUUAUGUCUACAAAUCGCCUCCACCACCUCCUUAUGUCUACAAAUCACCUCCACCACCUCCUUAUCUCUACAAAUCACCUCCACCACCUCCUUAUGUCUACAAAUCACCUCCACCACCACCAUACAUUUAUAAGUCUCCUCCAUAUUACUACAAACCUCCUCCAUAUGAAUACAAGCCACCACCAUAUAACUACAAACCUCCUCCAUAUGAAUACAAGCCACCACCAUAUAACUACAAACCUCCUCCAUAUGAAUACAAGCCACCACCAUAUAACUACAAACCUCCAUACAACAACUACUCCCCUCCUCCAUAUGAAUACAAGCCACCACCAUAUGUUUAUAAACCUCCAUACAACAACUAUUCACCUCCUCCGUACGAGUACAAGCCACCACCAUAUGUUUACAAACCUCCAUACAACAACUAUUCCCCUCCUCCGUACGAAUACAAGCCACCACCAUAUGUUUACAAACCUCCAUACAACAACUAUUCCCCUCCUCCGUACGAAUACAAGCCACCACCAUAUGUUUAUAAACCUCCAUACAACAACUAUUCACCUCCUCCAUAUGGAUACAAGCCACCAUCAUCUCCUCCAUAUAAGUAAAAAUUUCCACCGUCUCUCUCGCCUCCUACACCGUUACGUCUGUAAUCCAACUCCUUCUCUAUCACCUUCACCACCUCUUCCAUGUACAUUACUGCGAGUCUUCACCUCCACCAACAUAUUAUUUCGUCUAUACCUCACCCCUGUCACUCGAGUAUUAAGUUAGGGGUUUAAGCUAUUUGAAGCAAUUAAAUAAGAUUCAACAUUGUCGCAGUUUGUUGGCCAAGCUUUGUUAAUAAUAUAUGGUCUGCGCUAUAGCAAGAGCCAUACAUGGUCUGCACCAGU
rnacentral:lncRNA from 1 species